rnacentral:lncRNA from 1 species
GAAUCCAGGGGAAAAUAAGAGUUGAAAUUCUUGAAUGAAUCAGGACAGAUGAUCAGAAUUACCUGGAGACAAAACUAUCCACUUUCAGUUUUCAAUAAUCCCACCUGGCUGUCUAUGCUCCCCAGAGUCAUUGAAAUACUGUUCCAUGCUUUAAUUUAAUUGUUUGGAUAUGGUCAUAAGCUUUGUAAUAAACUCUCUAAUUUAAAUAGAUCAAUAAGAUCAUAGCCUGCAGAUGAAAAUAGGGUGAUGAGAGUUUGGCCUUUGACAUAGCAAAGCUCUGUUUAUGGAGACACUGCUUAAUGGUUCAGAGCGCAGACUCAGGGCUUAACUAUCUGGAUUUGAAUUCCAACUGUCCCCUCUUACCACCACCAAAUUUCUACCAGUAUGAUCUUCACUAAGUUGACAUCAACAGUCUGCACUUUGGUUUCUUCAUCAGUGAAGAUAAUAAUCUACCCAACCCUAGGGUUUUGUAUGGUUUAAGUGAGACAAUGUGUCUAGAGGGUUUAUCAUAAACAAUAUGAAAAGCCCCACCUUUCAAAAAAUUUGAUGUUAUUUGGAUCCUUUUGACUGUACUAUUUUUAACUUAGCUGAUGAAUGAUAUUCACAUUCGAGAUGCUUAUCCCAUUUAGGUAUUAUUUGAAGAGCUUGGAAAAGCAGUAAAUGAUGGCUUAUA